rnacentral:rRNA from 1 species
UACGGGGGGGGCAAGCGUUGUCCGGAUUUAUUGGGCGUAAAGAGCUCGUAGGCGGUUCAGUAAGUCGGGUGUGAAAACUCAGGGCUCAACCCUGAGCGGCCACCCGAUACUGCUGUGACUUGAGUCUGGUAGGGGAGUGGGGAAUUCCUGGUGUAGCGGUGAAAUGCGUAGAUAUCAGGAGGAACACCAGUGGCGAAGGCGACUCGCUGGACAAGUAUUGACGCUGAGGUGCGAAAGCGUGGGGAGCAAACAGG